AGAACAGCAAGUGACAAGACUGAGGCAGGCAGAGUGGCCGAGCGGGGUAGAGGGGCUGGAGACAGCAGUCAUGUGGAUGUUUUGGCACAGUAAGGGCUUUGCAUCCAUUCUAAGUGUGGUGGAGUGGGAAUCAGUUUUCUGUCUCUCCAGGAGGAGAGUGGCUUGCAGGUAGUUAGUCCUCCUUGGUCAGUAGCCACCAAAACCUACCUCCCUCCGGUGGAGGCAGAGAUUACCCACUCCCAGGUCCCAAGACUAUGUGUUUGCCUCCCUUGGACCAGAAGAUGAAUUUCCUGCAAACCAACACUUGGAGACCUUCAAAGGUCCUGAUUUCUUCCAGCAGGGGUCUGAAGGAGCCUGAUUGUUGAAGCAAAACUUCCCGUUUACCUACUGAUUGGAGGGUUUUUGAGCAUCUGGAAGCCAGAACAAAAAUGCUUCUUUCCAUCCUAGACCAUCCAUCCUCCCGCUGACCUUCCAGAUGACUGCAGGUGCAUGAGCACGCCCAGCAGGGAUCAGCUGAGCAAAAUCACCUCGCCGAAUCAUAGAAGGAGGGAAAGCUGCUGAGAAAACAUGGAAACACAGAAAGAGGAAAGUAAAAAGUACCCAGGGAGCCUCUGAGUUUGUGUGUGCACGUGGGUGAGGUCGCCAAAGGGGAGCAAACCUCCUACUUCCUGCAGCUCAGAUUACUUAUCAAUCAGAGAGCCUCCUAUUCCCCUUCCUGGUAAAUGAAGAAUACAAGGAGUGAGUCCCAGAAUUGGGCACGGAACCUCUGCAACUGCACAAUGCGAAAUAUACCUGGUCAGCACAAUCAGUACAGAAAGAAAUAUUCUGCUUAACUAAAUACUCUGGCUAAUGGAAGAUGACAUGACUAUCAAACUGGGAUGUAAAAAAUAAUAACCUAAAGAGAUAUGGUCUAUAUUCAUUUUCUAUUUCUGCUAUAAAAAUUACCACAAAUUUAGUGGCUUAAAACAACACAAAUGGAUUAUCCCGCGAUUCUUCAGGCCAGAAGUUCACAUGAGCUCAAUGGAUUCCUCUGCCCUUGGUCCCAGAGGUUGACGUCAAAGUAUCAGCUGGCCCAGGCUCUCAUCUGAAGGCUCUGAGGGAGAAUUUGCCACCAAACUGAUGCAGGUUGCUGGCAGAAUCAUGUUCUGAAUUCUUGUUUCCUCGCUGGCUGAGUUGUCGUCUUCUCACUGGCUGGGAGAUGUGGCCUCUGUCAGCAAUGUAAGGCCACCUACACUACCCAUCAUGCUGCAACCUCCGUCCUCAAACCAGCAACAGUGCAUCCCAUCCCCCUCACACCUCUAAUCUCUCUGACUUCCGCUUCUGCUGCAUCUCUCCUGAACUCAGUCACAGAACAUUCUCUGUGUUUAAUAGCUGUUAAACACAGCUGUUUAUUAGAUUGGUCCACCUCAAAAUUGAUUAGAUUGGGUCCACCUCAAAAAUCCAGGAUAAACUUCUGAUUUUAUGGUCGGUUACCUUAAUCACAUCUGCAAAAUCCCUUUGGUGUGUCAUAUAAUAUAUCCAUAGGUCCCAAGGAUUAGGACAUGGACAUCUCUGGAGGGCCACUGAGCCAUCACAAGGUUCUAGUAGGAAUCUGGGGUCACCAUUCCGAAUUUCAAUGGGGGUAAUAAUAAUACCUACUUAGAGGACGAUUAUGAGAAUUAAGUAAGUUAAUGUUUGUAAAGUGCUUAGAACAAUGUCUAGAAAGUACUAUAUAAGUGCUUGUUGAAUGGACACAUGGAUGGAUGAGAGAAUGAAAUAAAUGCUUGAAUAAAUGAAGUUCUGAAUUUACUUUAAAGAUUAGAAGUAUAGGUGGCUAAGCUGAAUCUUUUGUCAUCUAACAGCAAAAAUGGGACAUAUUAAGUAGCUUACAGAACUAAUUUACUUUAAGGCCCAGUUAGUCAAUACAUCUCUGCUCUGGCAUGGGCUUUGGGAUAGAUAAUCCCACAUGUCACAUCAUACACUGUGGGUUGUUUUAGAGCAUUUAUGGACCUUGCCUUGGUAUCCGUAGAAAUACUGAUUUCCUGGAAGUUGAGAAGUAGAUACAGGCUUUUGUCUACACUUGAUGGAAACUCUUAACUUCCACAUUCCCAUAACUUUCCACAGUUCCUUUGCUGUACUCAGGACAGAGAUAAUGAACAAAGAGACCAUAAAUACCAGGCUAUUUUCUAGUUUCAGAUUGCUUUCAUAUCCUGAAGAAGCAGCAUGAUAAAGUGAAUUUGAAUCUUGCCUCCGCUAUUUACUGGCUAUUUGUUUUUGGAAAACUUCCACAUCCUAGAUGCAAAAUGGAGUUAGUAAUAGCUGCUGUUAGAACUAUAACCAAUGUAAUCUAGGUACCUAGUGGUGCCUGGCACAUGAAAUAGGCACUCAGAGAAUGGCUACUAUUAUCAUAACAUUAUUUCUAGGCAUGCCAGAUAAAAUAUAUGAUGUCAGUUAAAUUUGAAUUCUAAAGAAACAAUAAAUACUGUUUUGUACGUCCCAAAUAUUGGGUGGAAUAUAAUUUACACUGUUUUUAUUUGCUAAAUCUUGCAACUCUAAUUAUUUCAUUUGACCCUUAUGACACCAUGGAAAUACAUAUUGUUCCCACUAUACAGGAGAGGAAACUGGAGCUCAGAAAAGUGUUACAAAGUGAUCACAAAUACAUUGAGUGAUAGAACCUGUUUUGUUUUUGUUUUUAACCAAGAUCUUGCCCUCCCCUCUAAAGGAGACUCUGUUGCUUUUCUCUCUUUAUCUUCAUCCCACCUCCAAGGUGCUUAACACAGCCACCUAAACAUAGGUGCUCCAUACAUAGACUGUUGACAUGAACAGACAAAGGAGUAGCAUGGAACUGUUGUGCUACAACAGACCCUCCCUCACUCCAGACAGGAGUGCUGCAGCCUCUCCCAGCAGGAGAACUGACUUGAAACAAACGGAAUGA